rnacentral:lncRNA from 1 species
AUGCCUGCGCCGGGGGCGACGGUAGUCGUGGGGGUGCCAGAAGUCGCGGGAGCGCCGGUCAUCGCGGGAGUGCCGGACAGGAGGGUGCUCAGCACGGGGGAGAGGGCGUUGCGAGCGGCGUCGGAUGCCCGGAUGGCAGCAGAGUCGGCGACGGCGUUCGCCAUCGUGGGGUCGAUCUCCAUGCCAGGCAGCACCUGGAACGCGGCGCAGACGGCCUGCGCGACGGCGUCAGCCGCUGUGUCCAGGGCGGCAGAGGUAGGGGAGGAAGGGGUGGAGGAGGCGGACGACAUGAGGCCGGCCGGAGAAGCUGUGGUGGCCGGUGAGGUCGCCGGCGCUGGGUUAGGGAGCGGAAGCGUGUGAUCGGCUGUCUGAUACCAUGAGAGUGGAUAUGGCUCAAUGCGAUAAUUAUGUUGAUACACGAAGAGUAUUACAUAUAGGCGCCAACCUUCCAUAGAACACUCGACCAAUUUAUGGAAACAUUAUCGGGAGGUUUAGGAAAGAGGGCCAAUCAGAGAUACAUGCCAUAUACAGUCUAACAGAGGAAUUGCGCCGAAGCUCACCCGGGAGUGAGGAACUGACGACGACGACCGGCGAUCGGAGUUGGAGAAGACGGCGACGAUCUCCCUCGUCGGUGCACGAUUCUUUGGUUUACUUGAGGGCUUUCGAAGAGGAGGUUGUCACGAUACUGGUGGCGCAGCAGCUCGGCCGGAGAUGCACUGGAUCAUCGGGAACGGCGAAGCAACGAGCGGCGGCGCUCUGGACACCGAGGACGCCGACGAGCGCGACACCAGGUGUUCGAUCCAUGGAUAA